AGAGUUUGAUCCUGGCUCAGAACGAACGCUGGCGGCAGGCUUAACACAUGCAAGUUGAACGGUAUUUGAUGGUAGCUUGCUAUCAUUGAAGAGAGUAGCGCACUGGUGAGUAACACGUGGGAACGUACAUUGUAGUGGGGGACAACAGAGGGAAACUUCUGCUAAUACCGCAUAAUCCCUGAGGGGGAAAGAUUUAUCGCUAUAAUAUCGGCCCGCGGCAGAUUAGGUAGUUGGUGGGGUAAAGGCCUACCAAGCCUACGAUCUAUAGCUGGUCUGAGAGGACGAUCAGCCACAUUGGAACUGAGACACGGUCCAGACUCCUACGGGAGGCAGCAGUGAGGAAUAUUGGGCAAUGGAGGGAACUCUGACCCAGCCAUGCCGCGUGAGUGAGAAGGUUUUCGAAUUGUAAAGCUCUUUCGGGUGUGAAGAUGAUGACGGUAGCACCAGAAGAAGCCCCGGCAAACUUCGUGCCAGCAGCCGCGGUAAUACGAAGGGGGCGAGCGUUGUUCGGAAUUACUGGGCGUAAAGGGUGUGUAGGCGGUUUAAUAAGAUAGUGGUGAAAUGCCGGAGCUCAACUUUGGAAUUGCCAUUAUGACUGUUAGGCUAGAAUGAUGUAGAGGAUAGCGGAAUACCCAGUGUAGAGGUGAAAUUCGUAGAUAUUGGGUAGAACACCAGAGGCGAAGGCGGCUAUCUGGGCAUAAAUUGACGCUGAGGCACGAAAGCAUGGGGAUCAAACAGGAUUAGAUACCCUGGUAGUCCAUGCUGUAAACGAUGAAUGCUAGUUGUUGGCGUAAGUCAGUGACGGAGUAAACGCAAUAAGCAUUCCGCCUGGGGAGUACGGUCGCAAGAUUAAAACUCAAAGGAAUUGACGGGGACCCGCACAAGCGGUGGAGCAUGUGGUUUAAUUCGAUGCAACGCGAAGAACCUUACCAACUCUUGACAUCCUUAUCGGGGAGGGGAGAGAUUCCUUCUUUCAGUUAGGCUGGAUAAGUGACAGAUGCUGCAUGGCUGUCG
rnacentral:rRNA from 1 species